GGGUGACAGAGCAAACCCUGUCUCAAAAAAAAAAAAAAAAAAAAAAAAAAAAAAAAAAAAAAAUCUGGUGGGAGCUGGAGCAGUCCUCAGUUAAAAGAAAAGAGCCAUCCUACGGGCACUGUUUCAUGCCUUACACUAUUUGUACGCAUGGGCUUAUUGUUUUUAGAACAUAAUAUAUUGCCUACUGAAGAAUAUUGUGUCCCAGGAAAUUGCAAUCUGUAACAUCCUUUUUGUUCUUGUACUCAUUCAUUCAUUUAUUUCACAAAUAUUUAUUGAUGGCUUCAUUUGUGCUGGGUGCUCUGAUAUAGUUAGGAAUAAGACAAACUUGGUCUAGGUUGCCAUGGGAGCUUUUAGACAUAAAUAAUUUCAUAAGUAGUAUAGAUUCAUAGUUUGGGAAUUGGUACAAAAACCAGUUAGUGAAUGAGCUCUGUGGUAGCCUUAAAGAUUUAGAACCUGAAAGUAGAUGAUAUUAUCACCAAAUACAUAUUCUCAUCCCUCAAAAUUAUUUCUUCAAUCAAUACUUCAGUACUUAUCCAUGCCAGGUACUGUGAUGGUGUUGGGAGUUCCAUUCAGUGGUUAACAGGAUAGCCACAUCACCAUCCACAGAGAAUUUAUACUUAUU